rnacentral:rRNA from 1 species
CCUACGGGAGGCAGCAGUAGGGAAUAUUGGACAAUGGGCGCAAGCCUGAUCCAGCAAUGCCGCGUGUGUGAAGAAGGCCUGCGGGUUGUAAAGCACUUUCAGUGGGGAAGACAAACUCGAGGUUAAUACCCUCGGGUCUCGACGUUACCCACAGAAGAAGCACCGGCCAACUCCGUGCCAGCAGCCGCGGUAAUACGGAGGGUGCGAGCGUUAAUCGGAAUUACUGGGCGUAAAGCGCACGUAGGAGGCGAGAUCAGUCAGAUGUGAAAUCCCCGGGCUCAACCUGGGAAUUGCAUUUGAUACUGUCUUGCUAGGGUCUGGCAGAGGUAAGCGGAAUUCCGGGUGUAGCGGUGGAAUGCGUAGAUAUCCGGAAGAACACCAGUGGCGAAGGCGGCUUACUGGGCCAAGACUGACUCUGAGGUGCGAAAGCGUGGGGAGCGAACAGGAUUAGAUACCCUGGUAGUCCACGCCGUAAACGAUGUCAACUAGCCGUUGGACCCGUUUGAGGGUCAAGUGGUGCAGCUAACGCGAUAAGUUGACCGCCUGGGGAGUACGGCCGCAAGGUUGAAACUCAAAUGAAUUGACGG